rnacentral:rRNA from 1 species
GCUUGCUACUCUGCCGGCGAGCGGCGGACGGGUGAGUAAAGUCUGGGGAUCUGGCUUAUGGAGGGGGGUAACCAUUGGAAACGGUGGCUAAUACCGCAUGAUGUCGCAAGACCAAAGUGGGGGACUUUAGGGCCUCACGCCAUAAGAUGAACCCAGAUGAGAUUAGCUAGUAGGUGCGGUAAUGGCGUACCUAGGCGACGAUCUCUAGCUGGUCUGAGAGGAUGACCAGCCACACUGGAACUGAGAAACGGUCCAGACUCCUACGGGAGGCAGCAGUGGGGAAUAUUGCACAAUGGGCGGAAGCCUGAUGCAGCCAUGCCGCGUGUGUGAAGAAGGCCUUAGGGUUGUAAAGCACUUUCAGCGGGGAGGAAGGCGGUAAGAGUAAUAUGCUUAUCGAUUGACGUUACCCGCAAAAGAAGCACCGGCUAACUCCGUGCCAGCAGCCGCGGUAAUACGGAGGGUGCGAGCGUUAAUCGGAAUAACUGGGCGUAAAGGGCAUGUAGGCGGUAAGUUAAGUCAGAUGUGAAAUCCCCGAGCUUAACUUGGGAACGGCAUUUGAGACUGGCGGGCUAGAGUUUUGUAGAGGGGGGUAGAAUUCCAGGUGUAGCGGUGAAAUGCGUAGAGAUCUGGAGGAAUACCGGUGGCGAAGGCGGCCCCCUGGACAAGGACUGACGCUGAGGUGCGAAAGCGUGGGUAGCAAACAGGAUUAGAUACCCUGGUAGUCCACGCUGUAAACGAUGUCGAUUUGGAGGUUGUGGCCUAGUGUUAUGGCGUCCGAANCUAACGCGAUAAAUCGACCGCCUGGGGAGUACGGCCGCAAGGUUAAAACUCAAAUGAAUUGACGGGGGCCCGCACAAGCGGUGGAGCAUGUGGUUUAAUUCGAUGCANCGCGAAGAACCUUACNNUACUCUUGACAUCCACGGAAUUGAGCA